AAUCAACGCUGGCGGCGCGCUUAACACAUGCAAGUCGAACGAGAAAGUGGGGCAACCCGAUGAGUACAGUGGCGUACGGGUGAGUAACACGUGGAUUAUCUACCUCUUAGCGGGGAAUAACUCUGGGAAACCGGAGCUAAUACCGCAUAAGCCUGGAAAGGGAAAGUGUCGUUCUUCAAAAAAUGACACGCUGAGAGAGGAGUCCGCGGCCGAUUAGCUAGUUGGCAGGGUAAC
rnacentral:rRNA from 1 species